rnacentral:snoRNA from 1 species
AUUUGAUGAUGUGGGCAUUGUAUUUGAAGAUCAUUAAAUCUAUCCCAAGCUUCAUAAAGUUCUUCAUUAGGUUUUGUAUAAAUGUUUGAAUUCUAUUUCGAAUAUC